CUGGCGGCGUGCUUCAUACAUGCAAGUCGAACGAGAAGCUGACUUCGGUCAGUGGAAAGUGGCGGACGGGUGAGUAAUAUGUAGAGAAUCUGCCCUUGAGUGGGGACAACAGAGGGAAACUUCUGCUAAUACCCCAUAUGAGCUAACUUGAAAUAGUUAUCUUGAAAACUCCGGUGCUCAAGGAUGAGUCUGCAUCUGAUUAGCUAGUUGGCGGUGUAAUGGACCACCAAGGCGACGAUCAGUAGCUGGUUUGAGAGGAUGAUCAGCCACAAUGGGACUGAGACACGGCCCAUACUCCUACGGGAGGCAGCAGUAGGGAAUUUUGCGCAAUGGGCGAAAGCCCUGACGCAGCAACGCCGCGUGAACGAUUAAGCCCUUCGGGGUGUAAAGUUCUGUCAGUAGGGACGAAUUUUGACGGUACCUACAGAGGAAGCACCGGCUAACUCCGUGCCAGCCGCCGC
rnacentral:rRNA from 1 species